GCCUCUCCCUCCACACCUCCCCGCCGGCAGAGGGAGCCCGCUCAGGCCUCAGCCAGCACAGAGAGGGGCUCCCACGGUGCAGCUGCGGGCUGAAGGGCUCCUGAAGCGCGGCCAGAGUGGGCUGAGGCCGAGGAGGCGCCGAGAGCCAGCGAGGGGAUGCCAGCAAGCUGUCACCUCUCAGAAAUACAGGAAGAACAUCAAUAAUGUUCGAAGUUAUAAAUUGCGGAGGCCAGAAGUCAGAAAACAAGGUGUCUGCAGGACCAACCUCUCCUCUGGAUGCUCUAGGGAACGUGGUUAGCCCAUCAACUGCAAAGAUUGUUCUCAUAUAAUAUUGUUCUGAUGGAUAAUGAGACUCUGAAAGUGGAACAUAAACAGAUAAAACAAAAACAAACAGAAAAGAACCCAAAAACCUAAACUCAACUUCAGUUAAAGCAGAAAAUAUCUGUCCAGCCUAAACCAGGCAUACUCAACUUCCUCUUCUUCUGUUAGAAGCCUGAGCCUACUUCAGUCUGGAACCACCUAGUCUUCAGGUUUGCCUGGUGCUCACCAGCUGAAGAAAUCCUUUAACGACCUUUAUUCAGUCAAGUAAAUUGUUUUCUUUUGGCAACUUGCAUGUUAUUUUUUAGGUUUUCAUUUAUUUAUUUUUUUAUAUUUAAAGUCAUAUUUUCUUCCUUUUAUUCACUUUGCUGGUCUUUCUCACUUUGAUUUUUUUUUGCCUUGUUUUGCAUUUGUUUACUUUAACAUUUUUUGUAACUUAUCUCUUUUAUUUUGGAAAUUAUUCACAUUAUCAGUUUUCUUUUGCUAGGCAAUUUUGAUAUUCUAAUAAACAUUAUUAACAUAAAAUAUAAAGUUUACUAACACCAAGCCCAAACAAUACAAAGUCUUAGGGCUCUUUAAUUGCAAUUAUUUAAAAAUAUUUGCUACAAAUUGUUCAUUAUUUUAUAUUUACGUUGUUUUUCUUAUUCCCACAAAUCACAUAUUGUUGGUGUGUUUGUUAAAUAAAAAUCUUUAAUUGCAAUUGUUUAAAAAUAUUUGCUACAAAUUGUUUGUUAUUUUAUAUUUACGUUGUUUUUCUUAUUCCCACAAAUCACAUAUUGUUGGUGUGCUUGUUAAAUAAAAUUGUGAUUGCUUAUA
rnacentral:lncRNA from 1 species